GGCCAGGUGGCGGAGGGUCCGCAUCCACAUUUCGUUGUUAUUAUUUUCUCGAAGAUAUAUGUGGACUCCCCCGUUCGACUCGGGGCCUGGUCA